UCUAGCUUGCUAGAUGCUGACGAGUGGCGCACGGGUGCGUAACGCGUAUACAAUCUACCUUUAACUGAGGGAUAGCCCAGAGAAAUUUGGAUUAAUACCUCAUAGUAUUAUAAUUAGGCAUCUUUUUAUAAUUAAAACUUCGGUGGUUAAAGAUGAGUAUGCGUACUAUUAGCUAGUUGGUAAGGUAAAAGCUUACCAAGGCAACGAUAGUUAGGGGGCCUGAAAGGGUGAUCCCCCACACUGGUACUGAGACACGGACCAGACUCCUACGGGAGGCAGCAGUGAGGAAUAUUGCACAAUGGAGGAAACUCUGAUGCAGCCAUGCCGCGUGCAGGAAGAAUGCCCUAUGGGUUGUAAACUGCUUUUAUACAAGAAGAAACCUCGGUACGUGUACCGACUUGACGGUAUUGUAUGAAUAAGCACCGGCUAACUCCGUGCCAGCAGCCGCGGUAAUACGGAGGGUGCAAGCGUUAUCCGGAUUUAUUAGGUUUAAAGGGUCCGCAGGCGGAAUAUUAAGUCAGUGGUGAAAGCCUACAGCUCAACUGUAGAACUGCCAUUGAUACUGAUAUUCUUGAGUAUGGAUGA
rnacentral:rRNA from 1 species